AGAUUUCGUUCAAUGAUUCUAGUCUGCACACGACAUUCGAGUACCCAUCUGAGAGCUCGCUAAUUCAAGAGGAUGAUUCUGACGGGAGUGAGGACGAUGAGGAGGAGCGACCCUUGACCACCUUCUUCCCGCGUCCCAGCUACACCAGCUCCCCUACGUCCACCAGCAGCCCCAUGCACUCCAACACCGUCACCUCAGCCCUGUCGAGUUACACGCCUAAACACACGAUGCCCUUCGACACGUGGCAGGAACAGAAGCUGAAUGAACCCUUUUCCAGUCGAGACAGCUCGAUGCAGGGUGGAGAAUCCACGACAGAGGACAACAUGCUCACACCAACAGACAACAGCCGCCAUUCAGACUACAGCAGUGAACCAGCGCUGUACUUCUGAUCUGAAGCAGGUGGAUCUCGGGAUGGUAACAGUGCUUCUUUAGGGACUAAUGUGCCAAGAGUUGUUCGGAUGGUACAUGCAGGCUACGUGCCAUCUGAGGUGUGGCCAGGACUCCUUCCAGAAACUCACCUGUCUCCUUGUAGCUAUGCAGGUCACACUGCAUGUCCCAGGACCAAGGGUAAUCUUGAAAGAACUUCAGUUUGUUUCCUGACAUUCCUUUGAGUUUCUGCUGCGCCUCCAGGAGUCGUCUCCAGAUUACAGGUGGCACACUGCUGCAUUUAUGUGGCAGCCUUGAAGCACAGAGACCUCUUACCCCCUGCACCCAAUUUGCUACUUUUGCACUUGCUCUCUAAGGGCUCUGACCUGAUUCUAAAUCAUUCCUGGAUAGGCGGGACCACCAAGGUGAAGCUCUUUCUGGAAGAUGCUGACUACUUUACAGCGGAGACUUUACUUUCACCCUGUGUUUUGUGGCUUUGACCACAUUUGUCUUUGAGUAUUGGGACCCUGGUUCCUGUUUCUAGCAUUGACGAUUGCAGUUGCAUUUCACAUUGCAACAUUAUGUAUAUAAUGUAUUUCUCUAGUUUGUAAUUUGCAUUGUGCCACUGAUGGGUAUAACUCUUUCCAUUUUCAAUGCUCAUUUCCUGUGUCUUAAAUGAUGUAAUGAACCAUCCCGGCACCUUGGCAUCUGACCACCUCCUGGUGAGGCGUGGAGGCUGAGAACACCAAACCACUCCUUGCAUUGAAGAUGGGAUUUCUAUGGAAAGUCUUUAGUGCCAUGUAUCCACUGGGUAGUUAGGAUAGUGCGAGAGAGUUGCUCCAUGUACAAGGGCAAGAAUGGAUGCGUGCUGCUGCUGUUCUACCAGAAUGAACAUUUGUUGAUGCCUCGAACUGAAGCAUCAAAUAUUUGUGUGGUUUCAAAUGAUCAGUCUUCGGGGACAAAGCUCUUCUCUUUUUGGAUCCAUUUAGCCCUAAUACACCUGAAAAAGGUGUAGAAUGGUCCGUGCAAAUGGACCGAUGUAAAAUGCAAUAAAUAACAGCGGGAGUGUUUUAUUUGAGGCAGAAAUAAUUGAAAGACUUUCUGUAGCUCAAUGCCAUCACCUGCAUAUUUCCUGUUGUUGAUUUAGUUCCUCUUGGGUAGUCUAGGAAUGACAUUGCACUCUCAGAUCCUACAAAGAAAAUCUUCAAUCAAGCAAAAUAUGGAUCUGAAAUUGUGUUUCCUGACGGUGGAGAGGAUUAUACUUGUGUGAUGGGGAGAGGGCAGGGGACAUGCUGCUAUCGUUAUUGUCUUGGCAACUACACUGUCUUCUGAAAUGUUGCAGCGCUGAGAGCACCCAAUGCCAAUAAUUCUGAUGCAGCAGUGCCUACUGGAUUUCCUAAAAGAAAAUUAGAAAGAAAAACUAAGGAUUCGGUUUAAUCUCAGCCCAAGGAACCAGAUGGCAGCUUAAAUGUGUGUAGAAAGACAUUUAGUUUGGAUUUGGCAUUGUCUCUGAGUGGAGUGGGAAAGGUGCAAAAUUAGGUUUGUAGGCUGCAUUACUUCUGUCUCACUUUCCACUUUGAUUAGUUAGAAAACAUUGUUAAUUCAAUGCAAUUCAGGGCGAUGAACUGUGAGUGGGAAACUGCAGGAAAUUCCUUGUGACUCAAGGGAAAUUAUCUGCUGUUACAAGUGGAAGUGAAAUGUUUAGUCGAGAGACUAGAUUUUUAUAAUUUUCUGAUUAAAACUAGAUUAAAAUGUUAGAUCAGGACUUGGCAAUAGAACACGGAGUGGUCUUUGGAGUAUAGUUGGCCCUGAUGUUGUAUGGGAAUUUAAUGGCCCAUGAAAUAUCUAUCUCUUUAUUCACGCUGAAAUGUAAAGCACUGGGACAGAAUGCAACUUAUUUUCUGGGUUUAAGUCAUGCUUGGGCUGAGGUGUACGAAGAAACCUGUUAUUAGCGAUCAUUUGAAGCUAUUGUCAUGUAGUUUUUGCCUUGGUUCUUGGAGUCCAAAAGCACUUGCAUUAUUAUUCAUAAUGAUGGAUUCAUCUCCGUCAGGGUGAUAAAGGUAGUUGUUGAACACAGAGAUAAUCUGCAGUGGUCAGGGAUGGAAAUUGUUCCAGUGUUGAACCAGUGUCAUAGUUGUAUGAAAACCACUGAGAGAUGUGUGGAAUUAUUCUCUACCGACUUACACUUUACUACCAAACCAUCCACGUAAACUGAGGUCGCAGUCACUGGAUGUGUUACGUCUGCCUGGGGAUGAACGAGUGUGUGAGCUAACUGCAAGUUACUGAGUCAGCGUUCACGAGCCAGACAUGGACGAGGUCAGGCAAUUGUCGCCCAGCACCUCAUCCACCUCUGCUCUCGACACCCUUCCCUCUGAGCUUUACUCUAGUCCCAUGUUUUUGUAAUGUGAUACGAAACACACUGGAAAAUUAGAACAAAUCUGGAGAGGUAACUAAGUUAGACUAUGUUGUAAUCAUAGAUUUGUUUCGCAAAAGAUUUCUACGUAAACUAGUGUCUAUUUUAAUGUUUUUGAUGCUGACCACUUAUUUUGAAUAUAUUCUAAUUAUUUAUGAAUGGAGGUGUUUGGGGUUUAGCUAUAGUAAGGUUUAUGUGAGAACUGGGUGCAGUUCCAUAGGCACAAGGAGCUCACACCAUCUGACCACUCCCAAGAAUCUUCACCAUCUCUCUCAACACCACAUAUGACACACUCCAAAAACAUUCAAACCAACUAACAGCAUUAUUAUAGGAGGAUUUUAUAAUCGUAAUGUCGUAAGCAUAUUAUUAGUAGCUAGAACAUUUGAAAACAGUCUUCUGUGACCAUUGACAUAAAUGACCACGUUUGAUAAAAACCGUUAACAGAAGAGGGAUGAACACAAAAAGAUUCUGAAAUUGGCUGGCCCGUCAUCAUAGGUCUGAGAGCCAGGUGAAAGACAUUUUAUUCCAUGAAAUUCCAUAUGCACUGUAGAAUUUUGCACUUAGAGAUUGAACUGAUAGGAAGAACUGAAAGUUGCCACCGUCCAGUCAUAAGGCCAAAUGCAUUGUUUGUACCAACAUUCACCUGGAAUGAUAAUGCUUAGAAAACACAUUAUUUAAAGAAAAAACUCAAUUAAGGACACGUCCUCUGCAGGUUUCUUUCUUUACAGUGAUUCGCAGGGCUUAUUUUGAUAGAAAAUUUGUACUUUUUGGUUGUAGAUGUAAUAAUAUUCAUUAUGAUUUAUGAUUUUCAGAGAUGUGAUUGAUUUAAAAUAAAAAAUACACUGUCAAUA